rnacentral:tRNA from 1 species
CGGGGAAUAGCUCAGUUGGCUAGAGCGCUCGGUUUGGGACCGAGAGGUCGGAGGUUCAAGUCCUCUUUCCCCGA